rnacentral:lncRNA from 1 species
AAGCAAUUCAAGAACACGAAAAGGUAAUUGAUUUUCCAACAAGAACAGAUCCGAGUACAAAAAUGUCAGUAAAUCAUUUUUAAUUAACAAAUUACCAUCAUCAUCAUCAUUAUCGUAACGCAUGUCAACUGCUUGUAAAUUUGCGCAGCCGUCAACGAUGAACAUCCAAGCCAGUUCCUCGUUAUCGUCUCUAUACUUCUCUAAUUCCUGUGGAUCAUAGCAUUCCUUCAAGCUAUCCAUCUCUUUCUUAAUUUUUCUGUACAAGGAUUUCUUAUCGACGCCAAUUUUUUUGACGAAAUGUGCUGCUAAUUUGAGGUUGAGCCCCUUGGAUUCACGGAGGGUGAGAUCAUCGUGGUGGAGUGGGCCGAUUGAGAUCACUUUCAGCUUGAAAUACUUCUUGAAAUCUUCGUUACGGAGAAGGGUUGAUGGGACUUUUUGUAUUAAUGGUUUGUAUCUAAGGGUGGGUUGGCCACCAAAAGCUUUGUCUAAUGACUGGAGCUUCGCUACUUCGCCAUCGCUGAGAGGGACGUCGGUGAACCACAUAUCAAUUCCCACGUAAUCGUUGUUGGUGUUGUUGUCGAUGAUUGUUUGAUUAGUGGAAACUGCUCCGGCGGCGCUGCCUCCUUCCUCCAUGGACGACAUUUUCAGGCUGACCGGCUCGAAGUAAUUAACAAGGUGAUUUUGAAAACUUGUUUUGGCUGAUUGAGUGAUGUUGGAAAAAAGGUGGCAAAAUGGCUACGAUGAUAACAAAUCUUCUAUAGCUUACAUAAAGAGGCGAAUAUAGGGGAAUGUAAAAUUGUUAUUUAGGCCCUUAAUAUUUUUUAAAAUUUUAAAUUAGUAAAAGUGAAAUUACAUUUUGGCCUUAUAAAAUUAUAAAAAUUCAAUUUAAUCUUUUAAAAAUUAUAAAGAUAUAGACUACAAAAAAUUAAAAUCUCAUUCGAUCCACCCUAAAAAAUUAUUCGGGCUUCGCCACUGCUUACAUAAUAAACAUAUGGAAAAUACUUUUGGUGUAAUUCAAAUUUACCCCUUAUAGUCAAUUUAAUUUUCAUUUUUUUAAUUUAAUUUUCUAUCUUUUGGAAGAGUUGAAUUUAACUAUCAAUUUAAAUUAAUAUUUUUUGACGAAAAUAGUGACUAAAAUAUUAAAAUAUUAAACAUGACAACUCAAACGGCAAUCCACAUCUAUAUGUUUUUUUAAUUUAUUUCUUAUUUUUAAAUUAUUUAUUGAUGUGACAUAUAAUAAAAGUAUUGUUAUAUUAGCAUGAAGUACACAUGGAAGGCCACACGAGUUGUGACACCAAUAUCGUUAAAAAUUAAUAUUUUAGUUAGCAUAUCUGUUAAAGAAAAGCAAAUGAACUCUUUUUUCAAAGGUUAAUGGCUAAAUUUAGCUCAAAUGAAAAAAAAAAAAAGGCCAAUUUGAUAAAAAAGGUAAAUGUCAAGAGUUAAGUUUAACAUUUAUACAAGUACAAAUAUAUGUCUGGAUUAAUCUAGAAAGAACAAGACAAAGUCUACAGGUGAUAUACAAAUGUGAUGAGAGUGGAACCUGCACAUCACAAUUGAGAAUAAUAUUAUAGAACCUAAAUACUCAAAAACCUAAAACCUUCCCCUUAACCAAGAAGCUAAGACGCCAUGGAUAAUUUUAUAUCUACAACACUUAUGAAUUUCAUAUGCUUAAUAAUAGUUUACAAAAAGACAAGUAAAGAACACUUACUUCGGUUGAUGUAUGGUAUAAUAAGUCUGCAAAGCAGUAAGAGUAAGUGCAGCAAUGGCACCCAAAAAUGCUAAAAACGUCCAAGGACUCCUAAAAUAAGUAUGAUAACCUUGAGCUGCAUGAUUAAUCCACAUAGUCUUACAAUGAUUAUGUAUUUUCUCUUUAACCCCACUGUAAAUUGUCGGACUAGGAACCAAAUCAGUGUUCAUCUUAUUGAAAAGCUUAGCCAUUUCUUCAUCACUGCCCAAUCCAUUGUAUAGUAUGCCGGAGUCUCUAAGGUCUUUAACAUCUUCGGCUUCAUCGAUCAAUAAAUCAAGGAAACACAUAUAUGAAGUGACGGUGAAAUCGUUGUCGAAAUCCGGACACAUUUCGUAAGCUAUUAAGUUCAUGGUUGAAUCAUCGACGGAGAUCGGCGGUAACCGUAAUUUUCCGAAGAAGAAGAUAUGGUUGAAACUGAUGUCGGUUAAAUUACUUGUUUCGCUGGCUUCUAACCAUAUCCCGGCCUUUUUAAGCUCUUUUACGUUACCAAUGGUGCGUGAAUGGUACCGUUUUGUUCUUUUUCUUCUUGCUGCUGCUUUGCCAAAUCCGUGUCGAGUGAAUUCCCAAAGAAAACACCAGCACCGUAUUCGUACUUUUCUGAGAAGGAGUCUUUCUCGUAGUAGAUGCAAUAAGUGAAUUCGCUCUCCUUCUUUUUGCUGCUUCCACCACCAUUCCCUACACCAAAAUCUGUGUUAGUCGGAAGCCAAGCUACAAUUUCUCUUUUCUUUUUUUCUUUUUUGUUGUUGGAUUUGGAAUUGUUAAUUUAUAUGAAGCUAAAAUUAAGAUUUUCAAAAUAAAUAAUCCAACGAUUAAGUUAUUCAAUUUACUUAAUUUAAUUGAAUAAAUUAUUAAAAACUUCGAUUCGAUAAUACGGUUUAAUUAAUUUUUUUUACCCUGUUUAUAUAAAGUUUUAAAUCGGUUAAUCUACUCCGAAUUGAUAAUUCAAUUAAUUUUCAAUCCAAACCCAUUCAAACAAUAUUAACUAAAAUACAAUUUUUAUUGUUGUAUUAAUGCAAAAAUCUUACCAGUUUUAAAACAUUAAACUUUUCCAUUCUGAAAAGUUGGAUUUGAAAUCAUAAUUUUUAAUUUCUAAAAAUGAACACUCAAGGAUAAAUGUAAAACGACAGGCAGGGGUCGUUCCCAAGAAAUGAAAAUUUACACUUUAAUCUCUUUUAAAUUUAUUAAAUUAUAAUAAGUCCUCAAAUUAAAAAAUAAUAAUUGUUCAAUUUAAAAAAAAUAAAAUCAUAAAUUAAUACAAAAAAAAUUAAAAAUCAAUCAGGUUGAAUAAAAAAUUAAAUAAAAUUGAAGUUACACCAAUUGAAUUAAAGAAUCAAAUAAAUUUCUUUUUAUAUUUUUAAUAUUUUUAAAAAAUUAUAUAAUUAAAUUGAAUAAACUAAUCAACCAGAAAUGAGAGUUUAAUAGAUUCCAUCACUCAUGUAGUUAUAAAAACCUUUUAACAUUUAUAAACUGCACAAAAAUGAUGAUUUAUUUAAUUCCCUAAAUUACCUGUCCUCGCCUGGGAUGAUAACAGUUUCGUCGAUGAACCUUUGGAUUGCAUUCAUGAACUUUUCGCCAUUUUUUCUAGGCCUUGUAAGCAAUUCAAGAACACGAAAAGGUAAUUGGUUUUCCAACAAGAACAGAUCCGAGUACACAAAUGUCAGCAAAUCGUCUUUAAUAAACAAUUUACCAUCAUUAUCAUCACCAUUAUCAUCAUCACCGUAACGCCUGUAAACUGCUUGUAAAAUUGCGCAGCCGUCAACGAAGAAAAUCCAAGCCAGUUUCUCGUUAUCGUUGCUAUACUUCUCUAAUCCCUUUGGAUCAUAGCAUUUCUUUAAGUCAUCAAUCUCUUUCUUCAUGUUGUUGUACAACGUAUCCUUAUCGACGCCAAUUUUUUUGACGAAAAGUGCUGCUAAUUUGAGCUUGAGCUUCUCGGAUUUCCGGAGGGUGGGAUCAUCGUGGUGGAGUGGGCCGAUUGAGAUCACUUUCGGCUUGAAAUACUUCCUGAAAUCUUGGUGACGACCAAGGGUUGAUGGGACUCUUUGUAUCAAUGGUUUGGCACCGAGGUUGAUUUCGUCGCCGUCGAAAGCUUCGUCUAAUAACCGGAGAUUCGCUACUUCUCCAUCUCUAAGAGGG